CUUUCGGUUCCUUUUUUCAAUCUCAGUUCGGUUUUUACUUUUUCGGUCUCAUAUCGGUGAACCGUUCGAUUUUUUUCGGUUUUUGGGUUUCCGGCCCACCCGUACCCGCGUGGACAGGCCAGUCGAGCGCCAAGCCAACACUCUCUGCCGUCAACAGUUCAGCCUCUCCUCCACUCCAAGUUUCAAGCUCAACUUCCACGCCUUGUACCAAAAGCCAAACCGAGAAUUUCACAAUCCGGAAAAAACCGAAACAUUUCAAAUUCUUGCUAACAAUUCAUCAUUCUCUACCAGGUCGACGAAUCAGACGACUUCUUGCCGUGGCUGGAGCGGAAAGCCGGCGCCGAGAUUUCGUCGGCGCUUUCAAUUGGGAAAUCUGCGAACGGAGCGUCUCUGUUUGCUUCAAAGAGCAUAACAGCUGGAGACUGCGUUUUGAAGGUUCCGUACAGCGUGCAACUAGCUCCGGAUAAUCUUGUUACAGAACUGAAAGAUUUGUUGAGUGAUGGAGUUAGCGAUGCUGCAAAGCUUGCCACUGUCGUUUUGUUUGAGCAGAGAAUGGGCAAGGAUUCCGGGUGGGCCCCUUACAUUCGCCGGCUUCCUCGCCCGGAGGAUAUCCAUUUCACGGCUCUCAAGAACUACCCUGAAAUGUCCAAAAGUAUCACCUUUAAGGAUUUCAUGCACGCAUAUGCUUUAGGUUAGUUGCAGCAGUUGCAUAUCUUAAAGAUCUAUAAACUUAUUCUCACUUGUUCAAGGUGGAUUUUGCUGUUACUUCUCGAGCAUGGGGAAGCAUUAAGGGUUAUUUCCUGGUAACACAUUUAUAAAGAUUCCGUUGUAAAUAGUGUUAUGAACUUUAUGAUGCAUGUUCAAUGUUUUCCUCUUUAAUUAUGCAUGUUUGGAUUAUUAAAUUAUUUUAUAGAUCCUAUUUGCUGAUUUUCUGAAUCAUGACGGGAUUUCAGAAUCAGUUGUGUUGAGUGAUGACGACAAACAUUUCUCAGAAGUCAUUGCUGACCGCAAUUAUGCUCCUGGUCAACAGGUUAGAUGCUACUUAAUUCAGAUGGCUUGUCUCCCCUAUUUAAAAUUACACGUACCGUUUGGAAUUUCUUUUUUUGUUUUAAAACAACUGAUCAAAUUUUGUUUUUGUAGACGGUUCAUUAACAUUUUCACUCAUACUAUUGUUGGAUUCUUGUUUCGGUUUGAAAUUUUCAUGACCUCCUAAUUUUUUAUGUAUUUUUUUUUUUUUUUUUUAAGAAUUAGGAAAACUUUUUAUUCCUCAGUGGCCAUUGUGUGUUAACAGAGAAGGGAUAACAGCACAUACACACAGGGUCUAUGUUAGAGUAAAAAGCACAAUAUUGUUUGAGAUAUGGUGUGGAAUUAAUGUUAAGAAAUUACUGGAAGUUUGGGGUUUCCUAUUAUUAGUAUGAAGGGAUGGUACAUGGAAACAUCCUCUGGAGCAUGGUUAUGUUUCAGAAGUGGUUGUUUAAAGUUGUAAUUCUGGACUUCAAUUUGUAUAUUUGUAUGGUACUGAUAAAA